UGGGGAAUAUUGCACAAUGGGCGCAAGCCUGAUGCAGCCAUGCCGCGUGUAUGAAGAAGGCCUUCGGGUUGUAAAGUACUUUCAGCGAGGAGGAAGGCGUUGUGGUUAAUAACCGCAACGAUUGACGUUACUCGCAGAAGAAGCACCGGCUAACUCCGUGCCAGCAGCCGCGGUAAUACGGAGGGUGCAAGCGUUAAUCGGAAUUACUGGGCGUAAAGCGCACGCAGGCGGUCUGUCAAGUCGGAUGUGAGAUCCCCGGGCUCAACCUGGGAACUGCAUCCGAAACUGGCAGGCUAGAGUCUUGUAGAGGGGGGUAGAAUUCCAGGUGUAGCGGUGAAAUGCGUAGAGAUCUGGAGGAAUACCGGUGGCGAAGGCGGCCCCCUGGACAAAGACUGACGCUCAGGUGCGAAAGCGUGGGGAGCAAACA
rnacentral:rRNA from 1 species